rnacentral:rRNA from 1 species
UUUAUGGAGAGUUUGAUCCUGGCUCAGGAUGAACGCUGGCGGCGUGCCUAAUACAUGCAAGUCGAGCGAACAGAUAAGGAGCUUGCUCCUUUGACGUUAGCGGCGGACGGGUGAGUAACACGUGGGUAACCUACCUAUAAGACUGGAAUAACUCCGGGAAACCGGGGCUAAUGCCGGAUAACAUGUUGAACCGCAUGGUUCUACAGUGAAAGACGGUCUUGCUGUCACUUAUAGAUGGACCCGCGCCGUAUUAGCUAGUUGGUGGGGUAACGGCCUACCAAGGCGACGAUACGUAGCCGACCUGAGAGGGUGAUCGGCCACACUGGAACUGAGACACGGUCCAGACUCCUACGGGAGGCAGCAGUAGGGAAUCUUCCGCAAUGGGCGAAAGCCUGACGGAGCAACGCCGCGUGAGUGAUGAAGGUCUUCGGAUCGUAAAGCUCUGUUGUUAGGGAAGAACAAAUGUGUAAGUAACUGUGCACAUCUUGACGGUACCUAACCAGAAAGCCACGGCUAACUACGUGCCAGCAGCCGCGGUAAUACGUAGGUGGCAAGCGUUAUCCGGAAUUAUUGGGCGUAAAGCGCGCGUAGGCGGUUUUUUAAGUCUGAUGUGAAAGCCCACGGCUCAACCGUGGAGGGUCAUUGGAAACUGGAAAACUUGAGUGCAGAAGAGGAAAGUGGAAUUCCAUGUGUAGCGGUGAAAUGCGCAGAGAUAUGGAGGAACACCAGUGGCGAAGGCGGCUUUCUGGUCUGCAACUGACGCUGAUGUGCGAAAGCGUGGGGAUCAAACAGGAUUAGAUACCCUGGUAGUCCACGCCGUAAACGAUGAGUGCUAAGUGUUAGGGGGUUUCCGCCCCUUAGUGCUGCAGCUAACGCAUUAAGCACUCCGCCUGGGGAGUACGGUCGCAAGACUGAAACUCAAAGGAAUUGACGGGGACCCGCACAAGCGGUGGAGCAUGUGGUUUAAUUCGAAGCAACGCGAAGAACCUUACCAAAUCUUGACAUCCUUUGACCGCUCUAGAGAUAGAGUUUUCCUCUUCGGAGGACAAAGUGACAGGUGGUGCAUGGUUGUCGUCAGCUCGUGUCGUGAGAUGUUGGGUUAAGUCCCGCAACGAGCGCAACCCUUGAACUUAGUUGCCAUCAUUCAGUUGGGCACUCUAAGUUGACUGCCGGUGACAAACCGGAGGAAGGUGGGGAUGACGUCAAAUCAUCAUGCCCCUUAUGAUUUGGGCUACACACGUGCUACAAUGGACAAUACAAAGGGCAGCGAAACCGCGAGGUCAAGCAAA